rnacentral:rRNA from 1 species
AUGUUCAGAUGUUUCUGCCCUUGCUCGGUUGAUGGUUCAAAGAACAAAACAUCAAACUUUCCAACUGGUUUAUCGCCUCAUCAACUUGACAUUAUUCUUCCAGUGGCAACUUCAUCGAUCGAGCAAACAUUUUCAGCAAUGAAGUUCAUCAAAACUGAUUUGCGCAAUAGGAUAUCAGAUGAUUGGCUCAAUAAUUUAAUGGUGUGCUAUUGUGAGAAAAGGACAUUCAAAGGUAUUCCUGAUGAUCAAAUUAUGAUACAAUUCCAUAAAAUAAAAGAUCUCAAUGGACACUUUCCUUGUGAGUAUAAUGUGAUUUCCUAG